ACUAGUUCCCGUACGAUCACCAAAGUUAAGCAACGUCGAACUUGGACAAUACCUAGAUGGGUGAUCGCUUGGGAAUACCUGGUACUGUCG